GCUUUGCAGAACAGCUUAAUGUUGGCUGCAUCACAAAGGGCUUCUAAAAACAUUCAAAGUGAGUCUAAUAUCAUCCGGUAAAUAUUGACCAGCAAGUGUCCUCAGUGAGCAACGUUUGUAACUAAGUCCUCCACAUUUGGCUUCAACUCAUACGACGACUUCUCAUUGACCAAUAUGGAGAAAAACACAGGAUGGUUUAUGUUGGGGACAAAAGCGGAUGUCACACAGAAUGCUGCUGCUUCCACCACCACCACAACGACUGAAAAUGGGUCCUCCACAUUUAGCUACAACUUACCCGGGGUCUGCUCAUUCUCCGUUCCGAUCAUCAACAAAGAUUGCUCUACGUGUGGGAGAAAAGCGGAGGUCAAACACGAUUUUGUUGGUCCCAUCAUCACCACGGCUGAAAAUGGGUCCUCCAUAUAUCGCUUCAACGCAUACGGCUGCAACUUCUCAUGCACCGUCCCAAUCAAGAAGACACAAAACUUUGGUUUUGGGCAACCAGGGCCAUCCUUCAACCCAAACACCAGCAUCCCACUUCCUAAUUUGUUCAAGCCGAGAGAAUCCUCUGCGUUUGGGCCAAAAGGGGAUGUCACACAGAAUGCUGCUGCUCCCAUCAACUUCAAAGCGACUGAGAACGGGCCAUCCACAUUAGGCUUCAACUCAAACAGCAGCUCCCCAUUCCCUAAUUUUUUCGGUCAGAGAGGACCCUCUGCGUUUGGGCCAAAAGCGGACGUCACACAGAAUGCUGCUGCUCCCACCAACUUCAGAGCGACUGAGAACGGGCCCUCCACAUUAGGCUUCGGCAGCAACCCACUUCCUAAUUUGUUCGGUCGGAGAGAACCCUCUGCGUUUGGGCCAAAAGCGGAUGUCACACAGAAUGCUGCUGCUCCCACCACCUUCACAAUGACUGCAAAUGGGCCAUCCACAUUAGGCUUCGGCAGCAAACCACAUCCUGAUGUGUUCAAGCAGAGAGAACAAGCGUUUGGGCCAAAAGCGGAUGUCACACAGAAUGCUGCUGCUCCCACCAACUUCACAAUGACUGCAAAUGGGCCAUCCACAUUAGGCUUCGGCAGCAACCCAUUCCCUAAUUUGUUCGGUCAGAGAGAUCCCUCUGCGUUUGGGCCAAAAGCGGAUGUCACACAGAAUGCUGCUGCUCCCACCAACUUCAGAGCGACUGAGAACGGGCCAUCCACAUUAGGCUUCAACUCAAACAGCAGGAUGACACUUGGCGAUUUCUUCAGGCAGGGAGAACCCUCUGCGUUUGGGCCAAAAGCGGAUGUCACACAGAAUGCUGCUGCUCCCACCAACUUCACAAUGACUGCAAAUGGGCCAUCCACAUUAGGCUUCAACUCAAACGGCAGCUUCCCACUUCCUGAUUUGUUCAGGCAGAGAGAACCCUCUGCGUUUGGGACAAAAGCGGAUGUCACACAGAAUGCUGCUGCUCCCACCUCCACCACAACGACUGAGAACGGGUUCUCCACAUUUGGCUUCAACCCAAAAAGCAGGCUCUCAUUUGUUGAUUCGAUGAAGGACAAAAAACCCUUUAUUUUUAUUAGAAAAGCGGAUGUCACACAGAAUGCUGCUGCUCCCACCACCACCACAACAACUGAGAAUGCUGACUCUAACUUCUCGUUGACGAACAUGUCUGGUGUUGCUGCAGCGUCUGCUUCCAAUAACAAGGAGGAGGGAUGUGACUCAGAAGAGAACAACGUGGACGUUCAGCCCAUAGUGUCCAUACCUGAGUCUGGGGAGGAUGGCGAGUAG
rnacentral:lncRNA from 1 species